GGCGGCAUGCCUUACACAUGCAAGUCGAACGGCAGCAUGAUCUAGCUUGCUAGAUUGAUGGCGAGUGGCGAACGGGUGAGUAAUACAUCGGAACGUGCCCUGUAGUGGGGGAUAACUAGUCGAAAGAUUAGCUAAUACCGCAUACGACCUGAGGGUGAAAGUGGGGGACCGCAAGGCCUCAUGCUAUAGGAGCGGCCGAUGUCUGAUUAGCUAGUUGGUGAGGUAAAGGCUCACCAAGGCGACGAUCAGUAGCUGGUCUGAGAGGACGAUCAGCCACACUGGGACUGAGACACGGCCCAGACUCCUACGGGAGGCAGCAGUGGGGAAUUUUGGACAAUGGGGGCAACCCUGAUCCAGCAAUGCCGCGUGUGUGAAGAAGGCCUUCGGGUUGUAAAGCACUUUUGUCCGGAAAGAAAUCGCACUUACUAAUAUUAGGUGUGGAUGACGGUACCGGAAGAAUAAGGACCGGCUAACUACGUGCCAGCAGCCGCGGUAAUACGUAGGGUCCAAGCGUUAAUCGGAAUUACUGGGCGUAAAGCGUGCGCAGGCGGUUGUGCAAGACCGAUGUGAAAUCCCCGGGCUUAACCUGGGAAUUGCAUUGGUGACUGCACGGCUAGAGUGUGUCAGAGGGGGGUAGAAUUCCACGUGUAGCAGUGAAAUGCGUAGAGAUGUGGAGGAAUACCGAUGGCGAAGGCAGCCCCCUGGGAUAACGCUGACGCUCAUGCACGAAAGCGUGGGGAGCAAACAGGANUAGAUACCCUGGUAGUCCACGCCCUAAACGAUGUCAACUAGUUGUUGGGGAUUCAUUUCCUUAGUAACGUAGCNNCGCGUGAAGUUGACCGCCUGGGGAGUACGGUCGCAAGAUUAAAACUCAAAGNAAUUGACGGGGACCCGCA
rnacentral:rRNA from 1 species